rfam:Felis catus isolate Cinnamon breed Abyssinian chromosome A3, whole genome shotgun sequence.
GCCUGAGUGACUUAGUCGGUUAAGUGUCUGACUUUGGCUCAGGUCAUGAUCUUGCAGUUCGUGAGAUCGAGCCCCGCGUCAGGCU